GGAAUGGGCAGUGAUUCCAAUGUCACAAAGCAACAGUGCGUGCCUGAAGCGGCACUCCGUAGGCUUGAACAAGAAACCUCCGCCAAGUCUGAGACACGGAAGACUUCCUGUGGCGCAUCUCAACAAGCCCAGGACUUAGCCGAUAACGCGGUGCAAGAACGUUCAUCCGACCUGGUGCAGGCGGACACUGACGCUGCAGCAACCGCUGAACUAGAUCAGUUGAUUGCUGAACUUGAAAUGGGGCUGAUGGAUGAUGACUUGAGGUCUGAGAGCAGUUCCGCCAGUGUGGAGACUGUAAACAUAAUUAAAGCGGAGGCUGACGUUAAUUUUAUUGCAGAGCCGGUGAGAAAGCCAGAGGCAGCCCUUCCAGAUUCAGCAGCAAUAAAAGCCACCGCAGACAGCGGCUCCAAUAAUACCGAUCAAGUAGAUGUAAACAACGAGACGGAGUAUCCUGUUUU